rnacentral:rRNA from 1 species
GAGGUUAAGCGACUAAGCGUACACGGUGGAUGCCCUGGCAGUCAGAGGCGAUGAAGGACGUGCUAAUCUGCGAUAAGCGCCGGUAAGGUGAUAUGAACCGUUAUAACCGGCGAUUUCCGAAUGGGGAAACCCAGUGUGACUCGUCACACUAUCAUUAACUGAAUCCAUAGGUUAAUGAGGCGAACCGGGGGAACUGAAACAUCUAAGUACCCCGAGGAAAAGAAAUCAACCGAGAUUCCCCCAGUAGCGGCGAGCGAACGGGGAGGAGCCCAGAGCCUGAAUCAGCAUGUGUGUUAGUGGAAGCGUCUGGAAAGGCGCGCGAUACAGGGUGACAGCCCCGUACACAAAAGCGCAUGUGCUGUGAGCUCGAUGAGUAGGGCGGGACACGUGGUAUCCUGUCUGAAUAUGGGGGGACCAUCCUCCAAGGCUAAAUACUCCUGACUGACCGAUAGUGAACCAGUACCGUGAGGGAAAGGCGAAAAGAACCCCGGCGAGGGGAGUGAAAAAGAACCUGAAACCGUGUACGUACAAGCAGUGGGAGCACCCUUUGGGGUGUGACUGCGUACCUUUUGUAUAAUGGGUCAGCGACUUAUAUUCUGUAGCAAGGUUAACCGAAUAGGGGAGCCGGAGGGAAACCGAGUCUUAAUUGGGCGUUAAGUUGCAGGGUAUAGACCCGAAACCCGGUGAUCUAGCCAUGGGCAGGUUGAAGGUUGGGUAACACUAACUGGAGGACCGAACCGACUAAUGUUGAAAAAUUAGCGGAUGACCUGUGGCUGGGGGUGAAAGGCCAAUCAAACCGGGAGAUAGCUGGUUCUCCCCGAAAGCUAUUUAGGUAGCGCCUCGUGAAUUCAUCUCCGGGGGUAGAGCACUGUUUCGGCUAGGGGGCCAUCCCGGCUUACCAACCCGAUGCAAACUGCGAAUACCGGAGAAUGUUAUCACGGGAGACACACGGCGGGUGCUAACGUCCGUCGUGAAGAGGGAAACAACCCAGACCGCCAGCUAAGGUCCCAAAGUCAUGGUUAAGUGGGAAACGAUGUGGGAAGGCCCAGACAGCCAGGAUGUUGGCUUAGAAGCAGCCAUCAUUUAAAGAAAGCGUAAUAGCUCACUGGUCGAGUCGGCCUGCGCGGAAGAUGUAACGGGGCUAAACCAUGCACCGAAGCUGCGGCAGCGACGCUGAUGCGUUGUUGGGUAGGGGAGCGUUCUGUAAGCCUGUGAAGGUGGCCUGUGAGGGUUGCUGGAGGUAUCAGAAGUGCGAAUGCUGACAUAAGUAACGAUAAAGCGGGUGAAAAGCCCGCUCGCCGGAAGACCAAGGGUUCCUGUCCAACGUUAAUCGGGGCAGGGUGAGUCGACCCCUAAGGCGAGGCCGAAAGGCGUAGUCGAUGGGAAACGGGUUAAUAUUCCCGUACUUGGUGUUACUGCGAAGGGGGGACGGAGAAGGCUAUGUUGGCCGGGCGACGGUUGUCCCGGUUUAAGCGUGUAGGUGUGUGUUCCAGGUAAAUCCGGUUCACUUUAACACUGAGGCGUGAUGACGAGGCACUACGGUGCUGAAGCAACAAAUGCCCUGCUUCCAGGAAAAGCCUCUAAGCAUCAGGUAACAUCAAAUCGUACCCCAAACCGACACAGGUGGUCAGGUAGAGAAUACCAAGGCGCUUGAGAGAACUCGGGUGAAGGAACUAGGCAAAAUGGUGCCGUAACUUCGGGAGAAGGCACGCUGACACGUAGGUGAAGUGAUUUACUCAUGGAGCUGAAGUCAGUCGAAGAUACCAGCUGGCUGCAACUGUUUAUUAAAAACACAGCACUGUGCAAACACGAAAGUGGACGUAUACGGUGUGACGCCUGCCCGGUGCCGGAAGGUUAAUUGAUGGGGUCAGCGCAAGCGAAGCUCCUGAUCGAAGCCCCGGUAAACGGCGGCCGUAACUAUAACGGUCCUAAGGUAGCGAAAUUCCUUGUCGGGUAAGUUCCGACCUGCACGAAUGGCGUAAUGAUGGCCAGGCUGUCUCCACCCGAGACUCAGUGAAAUUGAACUCGCUGUGAAGAUGCAGUGUACCCGCGGCAAGACGGAAAGACCCCGUGAACCUUUACUAUAGCUUGACACUGAACAUUGAGCCUUGAUGUGUAGGAUAGGUGGGAGGCUUUGAAGUGUGGACGCCAGUCUGCAUGGAGCCGACCUUGAAAUACCACCCUUUAAUGUUUGAUGUUCUAACGUGGACCCGUAAUCCGGGUUGCGGACAGUGUCUGGUGGGUAGUUUGACUGGGGCGGUCUCCUCCUAAAGAGUAACGGAGGAGCACGAAGGUUGGCUAAUCCUGGUCGGACAUCAGGAGGUUAGUGCAAUGGCAUAAGCCAGCUUGACUGCGAGCGUGACGGCGCGAGCAGGUGCGAAAGCAGGUCAUAGUGAUCCGGUGGUUCUGAAUGGAAGGGCCAUCGCUCAACGGAUAAAAGGUACUCCGGGGAUAACAGGCUGAUACCGCCCAAGAGUUCAUAUCGACGGCGGUGUUUGGCACCUCGAUGUCGGCUCAUCACAUCCUGGGGCUGAAGUAGGUCCCAAGGGUAUGGCUGUUCGCCAUUUAAAGUGGUACGCGAGCUGGGUUUAGAACGUCGUGAGACAGUUCGGUCCCUAUCUGCCGUGGGCGCUGGAGAACUGAGGGGGGCUGCUCCUAGUACGAGAGGACCGGAGUGGACGCAUCACUGGUGUUCGGGUUGUCAUGCCAAUGGCACUGCCCGGUAGCUAAAUGCGGAAGAGAUAAGUGCUGAAAGCAUCUAAGCACGAAACUUGCCCCGA